rnacentral:rRNA from 1 species
AUUGAACGCUGGCGGCAGGCCUAACACAUGCAAGUCGAGCGGGGGGCCGGACGGGGGCGUAAUGGCUAGGAAUCGGAAUGGGCGUGGGGGAGAAGGUUAAGAAACGGGAGCUGAUACCGAAUCCUAUCAGCAGAAGCUAGGUCGGAUUCGCUAGUUGGUGGGGUAAAGGCCUACCAAGGCGACGGUCCGUAACUGUACUGAGAGGUGGAGCAGUCACCCUGGAACUGAGACACGGUCCAGACUCCUACGGGUGGCAGCAGUGGGGAAUAUUGGACAAUGGGCGAAAGCCUGAUUCAGCCAUGCCGCGUGUGUGAAGAUGGUCUUCGGAUUGUAAAGCACUUUCAGUUGGGAGGCGUUACCAGCAGAAUAAGCACCGGCUAACUUCGUGCCAGCAGCCGCGGUAAUUC